rnacentral:RNase_P_RNA from 1 species
GCAGAGGCGCGGUCUGUCGCUUGUCGUCAUUAUGUGCGGCAAGAGGAAAGUCCGGGCAACUCAGAGCAGCGUGUUUCCUAACCGGAAGCCGAGGGCAACCUCGGGGAUAAGUGACAGAAAACAACCGCCGUGCUCCGACAGUCGGACACGGUAAGGGUGAAAAGGCGGGGUAAGAGCCCACCGGCCCGGCUGGUGACAACCGGGGCCGCACAUCCCACGUGUUGCAAGGCCAAAUAUACCGGCAGUCAAGGAUUGCUCGUCCAUUGCCGGGGGGUAGGCUGCUUGAACCGGCUGGCAACAGCCGGUCUGGAUAAAUGACAGACACCGACAGCUCGUAUCAGAGCUAUCGGUACAUAACCCGGCUUAUAACGCCUCUGUUUUU